rnacentral:rRNA from 1 species
CGAAGGGGGCUAGCGUUGCUCGGAAUUACUGGGCGUAAAGCGCACGUAGGCGGCUCUUUAAGUCGGGGGUGAAAUCCUGGAGCUCAACUCCAGAACUGCCUUCGAUACUGUAGAGCUUGAGUACGGGAGAGGUGAGUGGAACUGCGAGUGUAGAGGUGAAAUUCGUAGAUAUUCGCAAGAACACCAGUGGCGAAGGCGGCUCACUGGCCCGAUACUGACGCUGAGGUGCGAAAGCGUGGGGAGCAAAACAGGAUUAGAUACCCUGGUAGUCCGCGCCGUAAACGAUGGAAUGGCUAGCCGUUGUCAGGCUUGCCUGUCAGUGGCGCAGCUAACGCAUUAAGCAAUUCCGCCCGGGGAUACGGUCGCAAGAUUA